rnacentral:ncRNA from 2 species
AACUUAUACAGAGAAAGCAGAGGGAAUUGGCCCGAUGAAGCUUCAGCAACCUACCGUUUGGCAAGGUGCUAAAUCCAACUCGAAAGAGAUAGAUGAGUC